UACGAACAAAAUCUCAACAUAUUGGCAGAAUCAAAAGAUAAGUAUAUUUCGUAUUAUAACAAACCCUAAUUCUCAAGGCGUGAGUGUUUCCACUCCUUUCCUAUAUAAACUAAUACUGGUCAUACCCCAACCUUACACUGUGGUAAAAAAACAAACCUUAAGAAAAUGAAAGCUACACCAAAGCUCUCUUACCUGUCCGAUAUCAGGCCGUACAAGCCUGAAUGGUGGGUCCAAGUCAAGGUCCUUCAUACCUGGAAACAACACAGUGAAUACGGUGAAACCAUGGAAAUCAUUUUUGCUGACAAGAAGGUAAAUGAUUUUGAUCUGCUUUUGAUAGAAGAAUAUAUAAUAUUAAACCAACGAUACACAAAUUAUGAUAAAACAGUUUUACUAAAUAAAACUCUGUUUUUCAUUAUUUUAGGGAAACAAAAUUCAAGCAUCUUGCAAAAAAAACUACUUGCUUAGUUUGGGUGCGGAUUGUCGUGUGGGUGAAUGGAAAAAUCUAGAAAAUUUCGUGAUAACUCCAGCAGGAGGUGGAUACCGACCUACCAAUCAUCCUUAUAAGCUGUCGUUCAUGAAGUUCACCUCAAUUAAACCAUACGAAUACAAUAAUAUCGAUAUGUUUCUGGAUUUAGUGGAGUUUGAAACUAUAUUGAGUGGACAGCUAGACAACAAUCUCUUGAUUGGUAUAUUUUUAAAACGUUUUUUUUUAUUGUAGUAUGUUUAGUUAUUGUUUAUUAAUAUAUUGUUUGUUUUGUACUAUCUAGAUGUUGUGGGGCAAGCCAUAGAUAUUGGAGAAAAGUUAACUCUCCAAUGUAGUAAUGGGAAAGAGAAAAAGAAGAUCGAAUUCACUCUCAGAGACAUAAAGUAAGUUAUAACAAACAAAUUGUUCACAUUUUAUAGUUAAUGAUUCGUAAAGAUUUUUGACUUAACUAUUUUCUAUUUAUUUGUAGUGAUGAACGCAUACCAUGUUGUCUUUGGGGGAACUUUGCUGAUACUUUGGAAUCAUAUAUAGAAGAUGCACAAUUGGGAGUGGUUGUAUGUUUGAUCCGAUUUGCAAAAAUUGGAUCAUUUAGAAGUAAAUAUCCUUUACUGCUCUUAAAUAAAUUAAGUUAAUCUUUUUUAUCUUAUUAUUAAAUAAUGAUAUAUAUAUAUAUAUAUAUAUAUAUAUAUAUAUAUAUAUAUAUAUAUAUAUAUCUGCUUUAGGUAAACUCCAAAUUACAAAUGCUUUUGAUACCUCUCAGUUAUUGAUCAAUCCACCAAUAGAGGAGAGUGCUGCAUUGAAAGAAAUGUUAGUUAUUUUGUACUCUUUAACGUUUUUACGUAGCUCUUUUAGAUUUUAUGACUUACCAUUUUAAAAUAAUAUUUUAAUUAACAAUGACAUGGCCAGGUUUAAGUGUGAUACAGCAAACAUGUCAAUUGUUGAAUCAAACGAUCCUAACAAUCAGAUGGCUCGUCACGAGACUAAGGUGAUCAAAAUUGACACCUGGGAUCAGUAUGAUGAUAAAACCGUGGCCGAACUAUUGACUUCUACACAGGUUUGUUUUUUUCUCUGAUUUUAAUUAUUUUAAGGUUUUAUAACUAUUUUUUUUUUUGGUUUUUUAAUCUAUAUAUUCUUCUCAGAUUGGGAAAUGCAAGGUUGUGUGUACAAUCUAUGCUGUAGAUACCGAUUUCCGUUGGUAUUACUUUGGAUGUGACAUAUGCAACACUAAAACUUAUAAAGUUAAUCAAAGAUACAUCACAUCUGGGAAGGAAUUUAUCACCCCUCUGUUUUGGUGUGGAAAAUGCAAUGACAAUGUUACUAAUGUGACCCCUAAGUAUGUGAAUAUAUUUCUUUGCGUCAUUAAUAUUUGAUUAAUCGUGUCCUUUGUAAACUCAGUCUAUAACUGUCUUUGCGUCACUAAAUUGUUGUCUGUAUUGCAGGAGAUGAAAGAAUUUAUUUAAGCUCGGACAGCAUUGAUCCAUCUGAUACAGGAUCUGUUAAUGAUCAGGCUCUCACUCCAGAAUUUCUCAACACUAUCAAAGCAUCAGGUUUACCAAAUCAUAAUCUCCGGUUGAAGAUUGGAUGCCCUGUGAUGUUGUUGAGAAAUAUUGAUCAUGAUGGAGGACUGAUGAAUGGGACAAGGUUGCAGAUUAUAGAUAUGUAUGUUGAGAAAUAUUUAUUUUUGUUGUUUUUGUUGAGAAAUAUUUAUUUUUGUUGUAACUUAAAGAGAUCUCAGAAUGUUUUAUAUCUCUAGAAUAUUCCAGACUGUUAACUAAUUUAAUAUGGUUACGAUUCUUGAAAUUUAGCUUCUUAUUCAGCUAUAUAAAUAUCACCUCAAAACACAACAGAAUGUAACCAUUCAAAAUAUCCGAGCUCCCUAACGUGAUAUUCUCUUAUGGAUACCAUUUUCAAAAUCAGCAGUUUAAGCGAUGUUUCUCCCAUCAAAUUUGCAUGGAGUGUUUUGGUGAAAGUGCUUCAUACGUGGAUUUCAUUCAGUCACCAAUUUGGUUCUUCUCUUGAGAUGGUGUUAACAGACAUAAAUGUGAGAAAAUAUAGGCAAACACUCUAUUAUUAUACUGUUGUUUUUUGAAAAUAUUAAUUAUUAAAGAUAUUUUUUGUUUACAUGUGUUAGGGUGUCAAAAUCCAUGCCAGUUGCAAACAAGAACUACUUCAACGAGUGGAGAGACAAUGUGGUGUUGGAGAAUGGAAAGUUAUUACUAACUUUACAUUACGUCCAGCAUCUGGACUUAACCGACCUACCAACCAUGUUUACAAAAUGGAGUUCAUGGAGCAAACUUCAAUUACCGAUGGUAAUCUCACAUGCAACAAUAUGUUCAUCCAUCUACAUGAUUUUGACAACAUUAAAAAUGGUUUCUGUGAUGAGCGUUUUCUUAUUGGUAAGUUAUAUUUUGUUGUCGCACUUGAUUUUUUUGAAUUUUGUCUAUUUAUAUUAACUGCAAAAUAACAAACCUUUUUGCAUAACAGAUGUGAUUGGCGAAGUCUUAGACUUUCGUGGUCAAAAUAUUGUUAAAUUUGAAAGAAAAGAAGUGACCAAAGUGGAGUUUAAUCUAAGAGAUAUCAAGUAAGUUUAGUUACUUUAGUUUAAACAGUAUGUUAUCUAUUAUUGUUAAAUCUAAUUUUUUUUUUAAACUAAAUUUUUAGAAACCAACGCAUCCAAUGUUGCAUUACCGGUAAAUCAGCUGAGAUCUUUUCCGAAAAAGUCAAACAAUCCAACAGUGGAGAUAUAUGUUUAAUCAGAUUUGCUAGAGUCUUUAACGUAGGGCUGUUCAAUAUGGUAAAACCGAACCGUACCGAACCGAAAUAGACAAUAUGGUUUGGUUUUGGUAUAUACUAUAUAAACCGAAUGGAUAUAAUUUUAUAAAAACCGUAGGAUUUGGAUAUGGUUUGGUAUAUAACCAAUUAAACCGAAUAAACCGAACAAAACCGAUUAAAAGUAGAAACAUGUAAAUAUGUAUCUAUUUUAUAACAAUACAUGAAAAUCUAUUUGUUACAUAAGUUAAAUUUGUGUUAAUAACUAUUACCAUAAUUUUAUAGUAAUAAAAAACCUUAAUUUGUAUAACACUUGAACUAUAACUAAAUAACAAUACAUCGCAAUUCAGACAUCUUAUUUUCUAAGUCUUUUUUUUUUAAUCUUUUUACUUUAUUUUAGUCUUCACUAAAUUAAUAUGAAGAUUAUAAAUUUGAUGGACAAUAAUUAAUGGAAAAUUUUCAAUUGAAAAAACAUGACUUUAAUGAAUACUAAAUAUGGAAGAGUGGAAAAACUUUUCUUUUAUGUUUUUGUUUUGUUUCAUUUUUUUUUCAAAAUUUCAAGCUUUGAUUUAGUUAUAGAUUUCAUUAUUUUAUUUGAUGGUAGAAGCAUUUUUAUUUUUUUGUUCAUUUAUUUGAACAUGUAAUAUAUUUUUAAUAAAUGACGGUGUUCACAAUAUGACUCUAAAAUUCAUAUAAUAUGAUCUCAAACAAAAUAAUUAUGUUUUUUGGUAUAAAACCGAAUAAACCGAAAACCGACGGUAUAUAAACCGAACCGAAGUAAAUAUGGAUUUAGAAUGGUAGUUAUAUUUUACUAACCGAAAUACCGAUAACCGAAAAUAACCGAACCGAAACCGAACCGAUAUCCGGAUUGAACACCCCUACUUUAACUACAAAGGUAUAAAGAUAUUAUUUAUUUUUAUUUACAUUCCUAUAGUUGGCGUGUGGUUAGCUCUUUGUUAAAACGUUUUUAUAUAUGUUUUAUUUGACUUUCAGGAGAGUGGAAAGUAACCAAUGCAUUUGAUUCUACAUUGGUGUUGAUCAAUCCAGAUAUCAAAGAAGCUAAAGCACUUAGACAGAAGUGAGUUAAUCCUAUUAUAAAAUUCAGUAUUUACUGCAUUACACCAUUUGAUUGUUGCUGUAUUUUCUUUUAGGUUUCAGGGUGAUGCUACCACCGUUGAAAUGUGUCAACAUAUAAAUGAGAAGAUUGUGAUCCAUGAGAAGCGCCAGAAAUGGUCGCAAUAUCCAUUCAGAACAAUUCAAGAGAUGAAAUACUGUGAUAAGGUUUGCUUGAUUAUGAAAUAUCAUUUAUUAUUUAUUAUCAAUUUUAUAACCUUAUUUUGUGUUGUUUGUAGGGUGGAAAUUACAGAGUUAUUUGUUCUGUUUAUGCUGUUGAUACCAUUAAUGGAUGGUAUUAUUAUGCUUGUGCUGACUGCCAAAAUAAGGUUAUCAAACCAACUAUUUUAUUUGAUGAACCAGAGGUGCCAAGCUGGUGGUGUGAAUUUUGUCAGCGUAUUGUUACAAAGGUUACACCAAGGUUAUAUUUUUCUUUUAAACCUUACAUAACAUAUAAUUAAUUAUAACGUAUUGUCAUUAUAUAAAUAUUCUGCUGAUCCUUUAUAUCCAGGUACAAGUUAGAAUUGCUUGUGCAGGAUCAGACCGGUGAGACAAAAUUCACUCUUCUAGACUCUGUUGCAACAUCUAUUGUGAAAAUUUCGGCAGCAAAAGUCGUGAAAGGCUUAUUGGAGAAGGUGAUAUAUUACUUUUUCUAGAAGCUACCUAAAAUGAAUAUUUAUUUUUUACUAUCUGGUAAUAAAAUUAGUGUAACUAUAUUUAACAAGUUGAAAUUCAAGCAAUGUUACCACCUGAGAUUGUGGAAAUCGUUGGUAAAUCUUAUGGAUUUGGCAUUUCAGUUGAUGAAAACAACAAUUCUUCUAGACUUGAAAAAAUCGAAGCCAUGAAAGUUUGGGGUCUCAAAGAUAUUUUGUGGAAAAGAACCAAGUCCCUGCACCAGAAUUCAACUACUUCAAGGAAGAAGCAAUGCACAAAUGUGUUUAAGAUUAACGAAAGUGGCUGAUUUGAUUCUGAAUUUUCAUAUCUUAUCUAGGUUUUGGUUUUUGCGUUUUACUUCAGCUUAUGUUUUUGCUUCUUUUAAUUUGUUUUUUUAAUUUCUUUUUUGUACCCUUUUAUUUUAUCUGGCAUCUCUGAAAUGAAUAAAAAUUCUGUUUUUUAAUUAUGUUAAUUAUAAAACAAUUACUUAUAUUUCGAUUGUGCCAAUGCAGUUUUUAGCAAUCAUCAAUCAGCAUUCAUUCCCAAUCUCCUAACUAUCCAUAAUAUUACCCAUUCCUAAUCGAUUUCUAAUAGUAUAGUUUGAUUUUCGUUUCAUACCUUUUUUGUUCGUAUCAUGUCUUGCUGCUCCUCUUUUAUAUUGAAGUUUAGCCAUACAUCCUAACUGUAAAAUCCAAAUAUGUGAUUAGCAGAUUAUAUUAUAUUCAAUAUUGUUAUAUGUAGAUUACAGAAGUGCGUAACAUAUAAUCCUACAUCCAUGAAUUGCCGAGCAUAAUAUUGAAUAUUGAUAAUAUUUUAAUUUCCCAUUUAAUGGUAAAUCUAAACAGCAUCUACACCGAAUCUAAACAACAAAAAAAACGCCAUAGCUAACCUAAUACUGUCGUGUUUCCUGUAUUGUUCAUUUUUCCAUUUAACAUGGAAGAAGAAAACACUCGAUUACAUAUAACAAUGGAAGGCAACAGUAUUGAUGAUUCUGAAAAAGCUAACGCAGUGCACACACCUACUGCUAUGUCUAAACUUCAAUCAUCUUCAGGCAGGGUCUUAAGGGAUUUGACUAACUUACCUAUGAAAAAGGAUUUGGGCGGGUCUCUGAAACGCUCUACAUCUAUCCCUCCUCCACAAGAUGUUCCCUGCAAAAGUAAGAACGAUAGUCAGUGUUCAUAUUGAAACAUCAUUUGAUCUCUGUUAUUUUUUUCCUUACAGAGAAAACAAAUACAUCUAAUGUUCCAGCUACAAAGAGAAUCAAUAAUCGCAACAAAGUGUUUAGUAAGAAUAGUUAUAUCAGAUAUACUAAAUCCAGUUUGUGAGACACAUUAUAUUUAUAUUAACAACAUAUUAUUAUUUAUGAUGUUUAGCAACCAACACACAAGCUGGAAUCGAAGUGGUGUCUACUUCUGGAUAUAACUCUAAUAAAAGAAAGAGAAAUCUGAAUGCUUAUUCUGGAACUGUGAAAGUUAACACAAGGAUGGACAUAUCUAGAACCACUAUACCAUUGACCUCAAUAUUUGGAAGGAUCUUAGGAGAUCUUCAAAACUUUUCUGGGAGUAAGGUUCAAAAUGUAUAUCAGUCAGCAGCUGGUCAUAUGUCGGAUCGAACAUAUAUGCACUGCGAAAGUAAGGGUUAUGAAAAAUUUAUACUUUUGGUUGUGUAUAUAUAAAUCAUAAUUUUCUGGUAUGUAAAAGAAUUGUCAAUUUUUUGUAUGCAGAUCAGCUAAAUACAACAAAAUAUCCACCUUCAAAGAGGAACAAAUUUUACCGAGAUUUGAGAGGUAUAUGUUGCUACUUUCAGUUAAUUUUUAGUUGGUUAACUUUUACAUAAUGAUUGAAUAAUAAAUAUGUCUUAUGGAAACCAGUGAAUGAUCAAAUAGCACAGAGAAAAACAGUGUUACAAUCUGGUACUAAGCAGCGCAACAGUGUGUUAAGAAAAGAUGAUGCCAGGUCUACUCCUAAACUAAUGCAGACGGUUGUAACUGGAAAUAAUAACUCCAAAGUAACAUAUCCAUCACAUGUUGGGUAUGCUUCAAAUGAUAACAGCUUCCCUGAAGGUAUAUAUCUCCACUCAAUCAUGUAUUAUAUGAACAAACAAUUAUUAUAUUUUUUUUUGAUUGAAAUUAUAUGUUGCAGUUCCAUCUGAAGGACGAGAUGAUCAAUUUUACGACUUAAGCAGUCAAGAAAGUGAUAAACUCGUGGAUAAUUCCGAACCAGUUAAAUGUUUAUAUAGAGAUGCUGUAUCAGAGAAAGCAAACAUUGAAUCUAUGAUGUCAAGGAUUAGAAAGAUCUGCGAAAGCAAGGGGAAAACCAAAAAAAACUCCGAAUUCACAACCUAUCACAAAAACAAUUGGUGAGAGUUAUAAUAUUAUGAUUAAUAAAGAGUUAAGUAUUACUGAUAUUGAACAUCCAUGUCUAUAUAUUGUGUAGAGUAUGUUGACGAGGGUAAUCCUACUUUCAAAUGUGACUAUUGUAAUGCCAAAAUGUGGUAUGGUGAGCGCCUUGAAAGGAAGAAAAGAACAAAGAAGAAGCCAGUUUUCUCUCUUUGUUGUGGCCAGGGACAAGUUAAGUUGCCUCUUUUAAAAGAAAGCCCCUUGCUUAUACAGAGACUAUUGUUCGGGGAUGAUGACAUGAGCAAGUAUUACCAAGAAAAUAUAAGAGCAAUUAAUAUGCUCUUUGCUUUUACUUCUCUUGGUGGAAAAGUUGAUCGCUCGAUGCCAAAAGGACAUGGACCUCAACCGUUUCAACUACAUGGGGAAAACAUGCACUUGAUGGGUAGUAUGAAACCAGAUGAAGGUGAUUCUGCAAAGUUUUCACAAUUGUACAUUGUUGACAAUGAAAGAGAGGUUGAUGAUAGAGAUUCUGUUAUGAGGUAUAACCCCUAUACCUUUAUUGAAAUAGUGAUUAUUUUAAUAAAAAGGUUUUAUUUGGUGAAUUAAUUUUACAAUUUAUGUUUACAGUAAGUACAAGAAAGCUGCAGACAAGGCAAAAAAGCAUAAUUUGAGGAAGAAAAUUAUCGAGCUUAUUAUAAAUAUGCUGGACGAUGUUAAUCCCUAUGUGAAGCAAUUUCGGUCUGCAAGGGAACGUUUUGGAAGUUCAGGAGCUGCAAAGUUCCAUAUGAGGAUUGUGAACAAUCGUGAAAAAGAUGGAAGGACAUAUGAUACUCCAACUGCGUCAGAGGUAGCUGGUUUGAUCCCUGGUGACUUUAAUUUAGAGAUGGACAAGCGUGAUAUUGUUUUGCAAGAGAAACAAACAGGUUGGCUUAAGAGAAUAAGUGAGAUACAUCCGUCUUAUCUCGCACUUCAGUGUCCGCCCAUUUUUACUUAUGGCGAAGAUGGUUUCAGACUGGGAAUAAAAAAGAGAGCCACACCAGCUACAGAGAAGCUAAAGAGGGAUCACAUUAGUAUGAGACAGUGGUUUUGCUAUCGACUGUUUGAAAGAGAUGGAGAGUGUCAAACGCUGCUGCAUUCAAAAAGAUUGUUCCAGCAAUUUUUGGUUGAUGCAUUCACUACCAUUGAGACUAACAGAUUAAGUUAUUUGAGGCAAAAUCAAGUAUGUUUGAGGUCUGACGGCUAUGACUCAAUCAAGCAGGCUGAGAACCAAGGCAGAACAGAUAUGAGUCAACAAGGAAACCGAUUUAUUCUGCCAGCUUCCUUUACCGGAGGACCAAGGUACAUGAAAAAUAACUAUCUGGAUGCAAUGGCCAUUUGUAGACAUUUUGGUUUUCCAGAUCUUUUCAUCACAUUUACAUGCAAUCCAAAAUGGCCGGAGAUUACUAGAUAUUUGUCUGAACGGAAAUUGAAGUCAGAGGAUAGACCAGAAAUUGCUUGCCGAAUAUUCAAAAUGAAGUUAGAUUCUCUAAUGGAGGAUUUAACCGAUAAUGAGAUCUUGGAAAAAACUGUUGCAUGUAAGUUUUUUUUACAUCAAUCAUGUUUCAUUUUAACACUUUUAAGUAAUAUACUGAAGAUUUUAUUUAUCUUAUUAUGCAGCUAUGUAUACUGUUGAGUUCCAAAAGCGUGGUCUACCGCAUGCUCAUAUAUUGUUAUUCAUGCAUCCCAGUUCUAAAUUCCCUACGACUGACCACAUUGACAAGAUAAUUUCAGCAGAUAUUCCAGACAAAUCCAAAGAGCCAGCGCUUUAUGAAGUGGUGAAAGACACGAUGAUUCAUGGUCCUUGUGGAAUUGUUAAUCCGAAUUCACCGUGUAUGGAGAAUGGCAAGUGUUCUAAGGUGUUUCCGAAAGCGCAUGUAGACAGAACGACAGUAAACAAAGAAGGGUUCCCAGUUUAUAUGAGACGGGAUAAUGAUCGUUUUGUUGAUAAAAAUGGUUUCAAGUGCGACAACAGAUAUGUGAUACCCUGUUAUUCACAUUGCAUCGAGGGCUGAAAUAGUUUUAGAGUCUCUAAAUUCAUCAUAUCUCUGGAAACACUGCAAGGUGCUGAAACUAACAAAGAAUAUGAGGCUGCUAUCCACUGAUAUGACUACCGAAGAGUUAAGAGAAUUGGAACUGUUUUCUCAAUGGAUUUUGGAUGUGGGAGAUGGAUUAGCUGGUGAACCUAACGAUGGUGAUGCACUAAUCACUAUUCCAGAUGAGUUUCUUAUUAAAGAUUCAGAUGAUCCAAUAGCAUCAAUAAGCAAAGAAAUAUAUGGAGAUGCAACAACUCUACAACAGAACAAAGACCCCAAAUUUUUUCAAGAAAGAGCUAUUUUAUGCCCUACAAAUGAGGAUGUGAACCAGAUCAACCAGCAUAUGUUAGACGAACUUGAAGGUACCUAAAUUAUUCUAUUUUUUAAAUCGAGAGAUUUUGUAGGUUGUUUGUUAUGAUUAACUAAAUUGUUGUCUGUAUUGCAGGAGAUGAAAGAAUUUAUUUAAGCUCGGACAGCAUUGAUCCAUCUGAUACAGGAUCUUUUAAUGAUCAGGCUCUCACUCCAGAAUUUCUCAACACUAUCAAAGCAUCAGGUUUACCAAAUCAUAAUCUCCGGUUGAAGAUUGGAUGCCCUGUGAUGUUGUUGAGAAAUAUUGAUCAUGAUGGAGGACUGAUGAAUGGGACAAGGUUGCAGAUUAUAGAUAUGUAUGAAUUUUGUGUGAAGGCCAGAGUUAUUACAGGAACUCAAGUUGGGAAAAUUAUACUGCUUCCUAGAUUGUCUAUUACACCUUCAGACAAGAAGUUGCCAUUCAAGAUGAGAAGAAGGCAACUGCCAAUUGCUGUGGCCUUUGCUAUUACCAUUAAUAAAAGUCAAGGACAGUCUCUCUCAGAAGUUGGAAUAUUUCUACCUAGACCAGUUUUUUCUCACGGGCAACUCUAUGUUGCUAUAUCGAGAGUCACAUCCAAAAACGGUUUGAAAAUCUUGAUUGUUGACGAGGAUGGAAAGCCUCAGAAACAAACCAAAAAUAUUGUUUUUAAAGAGAUUUUCCAAAAUCUCUAAUUUUAGAAGUUUAAAGACUAUAUAUUGAUGUUUUUUAUGAAGAGACUUGCUUUUAUUUCACAACUUUACGUGUUUGAUUGCGCUACAAAAUAAAGAUUACUGGAACUUUAGGAAAAGUUUUGAGCAUAGAAUUACAAUUUACGUUUUACAGAGUGACCAUCUAUGGUUGUUUAUUCUUCUAUCAAAUGCCGCAUAGAAACUAUAUAAUUCUAUUAUAAUGUCUAUGUCAAUAUCGAGCAAUAGCAUCAUAGAGUACUAAUACUUAUCAUAUCUAACAUCUAAGCGUCAGAGGUGUUACUUACUUUGUGUUUUAUCCUCUGUGAACGAUCUGAGUCCAAUGUCCAUCACUACAUACUUUGUGUCAUAUCAUCCCAGCAAAGAAGUUGUAUUUGUAGCAUAUUGCGAGAUAAUUCCUGUAUAUAGCAAAGAGGAACAUCUAAGUUGAAGUACUUAUCUAUAAGUCUUUUACAUACUGUUUACUAACAUCGAGUGUUUAAGAUACUUGAACAAAACAAUAACUUAUCUUCAUCAUUAAAAAAAGGUGCUCUGGAAACGCUUUCCACCCUACUGGAUUACUGAAUGUAGAGUAUUGUGUAAAAAAUACACGUAUCUUCAUCCUUUAGCACACCUUGCCAACUCCUGGCCAUUCAACCAACAAAUAACCUCAUUUCAGUAUCUUUUUUAAUUCUUUACCGAUUUGAAAAGCAACAGAGAUGCUUCUUUACCUGACAUGGAAAGGGAAUAGCAGUGUCUAUGGACGGUAGCUAGAAAUUCUCUCAAAUUAGAGUCUUUGUAAUAGUAAAGAUUUAUCUCCUUUGUAAUUGCAGUGUCGAUCUAUAACAAAAUAGUGAAAUAGUAUUGUUAAAAGUAUCAAGAACAAAUUGUAAGGAAAUACUUUGAAAUCUUGAUCAUCCUUUUACCUGUGAUAAAGUAUGAGUCAGAUGCUUUAUGAGACCAUAAACGAACUCAACCAUCUUUUAUCCGCAAAGCUGAUUCAAAGAACCCUAAUAACUUUGAUCUGCAAAACUGAUUCAAGAGGAAAUAGAUUUGGUAGUAUUAGUCUUUAUCUUAACAACCUUUUUUCCUACCAAAAAAUAUGGUUAGUCGUCGUAUGGGCAAAAAGAUAUUUGCUUGAAAGCCCACUUUAUAAAAUAUUUAUGUGACAGAGAUUUAAACUCCAAACUGUUGACAAAAAAAAUCCAAACUAAAUUAAUAUGCUUUAGAAUCGUAGUAAUUUUAAAAUAAACAUGCAAAAGACAGUGAUUACCGAUGUUCCUGGAUCUCCAAUCUACAAUUGUUGUCCUGUAAUCAAAAAUUGCCAGCUUC
rnacentral:lncRNA from 1 species